AAUCUGGCCCACUGCCCUUUGACUCACGGAUGAAUGUCUAUUUUUAUACACAUUAGUUCCGCGUGGUUACAAGGUUAAAAUAGAAACAACUCAAAGGUUAAUAGUUUAGGUAUUCAUUCUGAGUGGUUAAGGUUAGGUAUUCAUUCUGAGUGGUUAAGGUUAGGUAUUCAUUCUGAGUGGUUAAGGUUAGGUAUUCAUUCUCAGUGGUUAAGGUUAGGUAUUCAUUCUGAGUGGUUAAGGUUAGGUAUUCAUUCUGAGUGGUUAAGGCUAGGUAUUCAUUCUGAGUGGUUAAGGUUUGGUAUUCAUUCUGAGUGGUUAAUGUUUGGUAUUCAUUCUGAGUGGUUAAGGUUUGGUAUUCAUUCUGAGUGGUUAAGGUUAUGUAUUCAUUCUGAGUGGUUAAGGUUUGGUAUUCAUUCUGAGUGGUUAAUGUUUGGUAUUCAUUCUGAGUGGUUAAGGUUUGGUAGUCAUUCUGAGUGGUUAAGGUUAUGUAUUCAUUCUGAGUGGUUAAGGGUAGGUACUCAUUCUGAGUGGUUAAGGUUAGGUAUUCAUUCUGAGUGGUUAAGGUUUGGUAGUCAUUCUGAGUGGUUAAGGUUUGGUAUUCAUUCUGAGUGGUUAAUGUUUGGUAGUCAUUCUGAGUGGUUAAGGUUAUGUAUUCAUUCUGAGUGGUUAAGGGUAGGUACUCAUUCUGAGUGGUUAAGGUUAGGUAUUCAUUCUGAGUGGUUAAUGUUUGGUAUUCAUUCUGAGUGGUUAAGGUUAUGUAUUCAUUCUGAGUGGUCAUGACACAAACUGUUCACACUGUUGGUGGAGAGAAUGUUGCAGUUUAAAAGCUUAUUUCCUGCAAUUCUACACAUUUUGCCAUGUCUAAUGUGUAUUCAUGGGAUAUUUGAGUGACAAAAAUAUUACAACAAUAUAUACGGGCAAAAAAAAAAUCUGAAACAAAAGAACGUUAGCUGACGU
rnacentral:lncRNA from 1 species